GUCUUUUUGAAUUUUUUUUAAAGUCUAACCUGCCCACUGAAUUUUUUUAAAUGGCCGCAGUAUACUAACUGUGCAAAGGUAGCAUAAUCAUUAGUCUUUUAAUUGAAGGCUGGUAUGAAUGGUUGGACGAGAUAUUAACUGUUUCAUAAAAAUUUAUAUUAGAAUUUUAUUUUUUAGUCAAAAAGCUAAAAUUUAUUUAAAAGACGAGAAGACCCUAUAAAUCUUUAUAUUUAGUUUAUUAUAAUUUUAUAGAUUAUUUUUGUUAUAAUAAUCAAUAAUAUUUUAUUGGGGUGAUAUUAAAAUUUAAUAAACUUUUAAUUGUUUAAAUCAUUAAUUUAUGAAUAAUUGAUCCGUUAUUAACGAUUAAAAAAAUAAGUUACUUUAGGGAUAACAGCGUAAUUUUUUUGGAGAGUUCAUAUCGAUAAAAAAGAUUGCGACCUCGAUGUUGGAUUAAGAUAUAAUUUUAGGUGUAGCCGCUUAAAUUUUAAGUCUGUUCGACUUUUAAAUUCUU
rnacentral:rRNA from 1 species